rnacentral:rRNA from 1 species
GGUUAAGUUAGAAAGGGCGCACGGUGGAUGCCUUGGCACUAGGAGCCGAUGAAGGACGGGACGAACACCGAUAUGCUUCGGGGAGCUGUAAGCAAGCUUUGAUCCGGAGAUUUCCGAAUGGGGAAACCCACCACUCGUAAUGGAGCGGUAUCCAUAUCUGAAUACAUAGGAUAUGAGAAGGCAGACCCGGGGAACUGAAACAUCUAAGUACCCGGAGGAAGAGAAAGCAAAUGCGAUUCCCUGAGUAGCGGCGAGCGAAACGGGAUCAGCCCAAACCAAGAGGCUUGCCUCUUGGGGUUGUAGGACACUCUGUACGGAGUUACAAAGGAACGAGGUAGAUGAAGAGGUCUGGAAAGGCCCGCCAUAGGAGGUAACAGCCCUGUAGUCAAAACUUCGUUCUCUCCUGAGUGGAUCCUGAGUACGGCGGAACACGUGAAAUUCCGUCGGAAUCCGGGAGGACCAUCUCCCAAGGCUAAAUACUCCCUAGUGACCGAUAGUGAACCAGUACCGUGAGGGAAAGGUGAAAAGCACCCCGGAAGGGGAGUGAAAGAGAUCCUGAAACCGUGUGCCUACAAGUAGUCAGAGCCCGUUAACGGGUGAUGGCGUGCCUUUUGUAGAAUGAACCGGCGAGUUACGAUCCCGUGCAAGGUUAAGCAGAAGAUGCGGAGCCGCAGCGAAAGCGAGUCUGAAUAGGGCGAAUUGAGUACGUGGUCGUAGACCCGAAACCAGGUGAUCUACCCAUGUCCAGGGUGAAGUUCAGGUAACACUGAAUGGAGGCCCGAACCCACGCACGUUGAAAAGUGCGGGGAUGAGGUGUGGGUAGGGGUGAAAUGCCAAUCGAACCUGGAGAUAGCUGGUUCUCUCCGAAAUAGCUUUAGGGCUAGCCUCAAGGUAAGAGUCUCGGAGGUAGAGCACUGAUUGGACUAGGGGCCCCUACCGGGUUACCGAAUUCAGUCAAACUCCGAAUGCCGAUGACUUAUCCUUGGGAGUCAGACUGCGAGUGAUAAGAUCCGUAGUCGAAAGGGAAACAGCCCAGACCGCCAGCUAAGGUCCCAAAGUAUACGUUAAGUGGAAAAGGAUGUGGAGUUGCUUAGACAACCAGGAUGUUGGCUUAGAAGCAGCCACCAUUUAAAGAGUGCGUAAUAGCUCACUGGUCGAGUGACUCUGCGCCGAAAAUGUACCGGGGCUAAACGUAUCACCGAAGCUGCGGACUGUUCUUCGAACAGUGGUAGGAGAGCGUUCUAAGGGCUGUGAAGCAAGACCGGAAGGACUUGUGGAGCGCUUAGAAGUGAGAAUGCCGGUAUGAGUAGCGAAAGAGGGGUGAGAAUCCCCUCCACCGAAUGCCUAAGGUUUCCUGAGGAAGGCUCGUCCGCUCAGGGUUAGUCGGGACCUAAGCCGAGGCCGAAAGGCGUAGGCGAUGGAUAACAGGUUGAUAUUCCUGUACCACCUCCUCACCAUUUGAGCAAUGGGGGGACGCAGGAGGAUAGGGUAAGCGCGGUAUUGGAUAUCCGCGUCCAAGCAGUUAGGCUGGGAAAUAGGCAAAUCCGUUUCCCGUGAAGGCUGAGCUGUGAUGGCGAGCGAAUUAUAGUAGCGAAGUUCCUGAUUCCACACUGCCAAGAAAAGCCUCUAGCGAGGUGAGAGGUGCCCGUACCGCAAACCGACACAGGUAGGCGAGGAGAGAAUCCUAAGGUGAUCGAGAGAACUCUCGUUAAGGAACUCGGCAAAAUGACCCCGUAACUUCGGGAGAAGGGGUGCUCUGUUAGGGUGCAAGCCCGAGAGAGCCGCAGUGAAUAGGCCCAGGCGACUGUUUAGCAAAAACACAGGUCUCUGCGAAGCCGUAAGGCGAAGUAUAGGGGCUGACGCCUGCCCGGUGCUGGAAGGUUAAGAGGAGCGCUUAGCGUAAGCGAAGGUGCGAAUUGAAGCCCCAGUAAACGGCGGCCGUAACUAUAACGGUCCUAAGGUAGCGAAAUUCCUUGUCGGGUAAGUUCCGACCCGCACGAAAGGCGCAACGAUCUGGGCACUGUCUCAACGAGAGACUCGGUGAAAUUAUAGUACCUGUGAAGAUGCAGGUUACCCGCGACAGGACGGAAAGACCCCGUGGAGCUUUACUGCAGCCUGAUAUUGAAUGUUGGUACAGCUUGUACAGGAUAGGUAGGAGCCUUGGAAACCGGAGCGCCAGCUUCGGUGGAGGCAUCGGUGGGAUACUACCCUGGCUGUAUUGACCUUCUAACCCGCCGCCCUUAUCGGGCGGGGAGACAGUGUCAGGUGGGCAGUUUGACUGGGGCGGUCGCCUCCUAAAAGGUAACGGAGGCGCCCAAAGGUUCCCUCAGAAUGGUUGGAAAUCAUUCGCAGAGUGUAAAGGCACAAGGGAGCUUGACUGCGAGACCUACAAGUCGAGCAGGGACGAAAGUCGGGCUUAGUGAUCCGGUGGUUCCGCAUGGAAGGGCCAUCGCUCAACGGAUAAAAGCUACCCCGGGGAUAACAGGCUUAUCUCCCCCAAGAGUCCACAUCGACGGGGAGGUUUGGCACCUCGAUGUCGGCUCAUCGCAUCCUGGGGCUGUAGUCGGUCCCAAGGGUUGGGCUGUUCGCCCAUUAAAGCGGUACGCGAGCUGGGUUCAGAACGUCGUGAGACAGUUCGGUCCCUAUCCGUCGCGGGCGCAGGAAAUUUGAGAGGAGCUGUCCUUAGUACGAGAGGACCGGGAUGGACGCACCGCUGGUGUACCAGUUGUUCUGCCAAGGGCAUCGCUGGGUAGCUAUGUGCGGACGGGAUAAGUGCUGAAAGCAUCUAAGCAUGAAGCCCCCCUCAAGAUGAGAUUUCCCAUUCCGCAAGGAAGUAAGAUCCCUGAAAGAUGAUCAGGUUGAUAGGUCUGAGGUGGAAGUGUGGCGACACAUGGAGCUGACAGAUACUAAUCGAUCGAGGACUUAACCAA